UUAUUUAAUAUUAAAAUUUAUUAUUUUAUGAUGCUAAAAUAUAGUGAAAAUAUGUUACAUAAUUAUUUUAAGAAAAUAAAAAGUUGAAAUUUUUUUAUGAAAAAAAUACAAGGACUCGUCGUUUAGUCAUUUCAUAUUAACAAAUAAAAAUUUGGGUAACCCACUACCCAACCCAAACCAAACCGAAAAUUAGUGGGUUUGCCCAAACCCACCCAUUAAUUUAACGGGUGGAUAUUUUACCUAACCCAAACCGGA
rnacentral:lncRNA from 1 species